GUGGGGCAUAAUUAAUGACCUCAUGUGCAUAAUUAAUGACUUCAUAGUUUUUAAUCACAGCACGCAGUUGGUGGCCUAGGAUAUGGCUCCUGAAUGAUGGGACUUGAUGUGACCUAAUAGGAUGGCAUGACGGCUACACUUGAUGUUCAGCUGCUCGAUUGACACUCGCACUCUUGGACUCGACAGUCGAUCGAAUGAGUCCAUUAAGCGGUGCCACCCAAUCGUCGACUAAAUCAGUUGGUAGGGC
rnacentral:lncRNA from 1 species